rnacentral:lncRNA from 1 species
UUUUGAGUGUUAUUUAUAUGUAUUUUGACAGCUCCCAGGAACUCUGAACAGAUUGUGCUCAAUUUGGAGAAGUCCAUCAUAACUUCAAAUGGAAGUGUUCAAGGCUUCAGUCAUCCCAGCUUCUGUUCAGGAAGAGACCCAGACUCCAUCCAGGAAUGGGGUCAGACCCUUGUCAAGCUGGGACUGAGCCAUAUAACCACUUGACAGUGUGCUCAGAUAUUAAAUUCUUGGGGAAAGGAAAAGGUUUUGCCUGA